rnacentral:lncRNA from 1 species
UCAAAACUCUCAAUAACUUGCACCAUCCAAGAAUUAUGUCCCUAACACAAUCAAAACACACUCUCUCUCUCUCUCUCUCUAAAUAAUUCAGCCAAUCACCCCUACACACACACACAAUUCAUAAUUUUAAAUCUUUCUUGAAGAUUUGAAGACAUUUCAAAGUGUUUUAAAACUUGUAUGAAGGAUUAGAGGUGAUUUCAAGGAGAUUUGAGCAAAAACCAAGCAUCAUAUCAUCUUUUUAUUCAAAAACCCACUUGAAUCUUGAAGGACGUCUGGAAAUCAAAAUGUGGGAAUGCUAUUUAAAAAUACGCACCCAAAGGUACUUGAGUUCGGCUUCGGGAAUUAUGGCGUAUCUUGUGUUUGUUGAUGCAUGUUUGGUUUGAUAAUGUUUUGGACAAACUUUUAAAACUAUUUGGGACCAAUGUAAUAAGAUCCAUAAGGAUCAAAACAAUUUAAUUAUGGUGUGAUUGUGACGAACUUUAAGACUUUAUGUUUUAAAAUCUAUGUUUUAGUUAAGUUGAAAUGUCCAACAUUACGAUGCAUCGUUCAGCAAGAUACAAAUGGGCAACAGCUUCCGUCACCACUACGUUUUAUAUUCCGCUGCGACGUUUUUGGGGUGUGACAUGGGCCUCCCGCGUUUGGACUCCGGCUUGAGAAUUAGUAGAAUAUUCUUUGAGAGUCUUAGCAAAAGAAAGGAUAACUUAACCUUUGGCUGGGACAAGACACUUCUUAUAUAGGCAGACUGGUCUGCCUAAGGAGCCUCCUGCCAGUUGUACACCUUCUAGUCCAGGUAAGCUUAUCCAUCCUGAUGUUACUUUCAGGUUUGGCCUUUACCUCUUUGGAUAUGUUUCAGGUUUUGUGUGUCUCGAGGACACCUUUAUGCUUUAUAGAGGUUUGCCUUUUCAUCCUGACUUAUUCAAUUCAAGUCCCGAGGUUGUACAGUAAUUUUGCCUUCCUGUCAUUAGAUGUGGGUGUAUCAAGCUCCUGGUCAGGAGCUUUUAGCUUCUAACUUUCAGCUUCUUGUUUUGUGUUUCAUCAUUGUUUAUAUAUUUUUACUAUUGUCAUUAAUUUUGACUUUAUUGACUGAGAUCUCCGAGUACCCACGUCAUCAAAUAUAGAUUAUAAGUAUCAUUUUAUUGAAAUAGCUAUUAAUUUAUAAUAUAAAUGUAAAUUAUGAGUAUCAAUUUAUUGAAUAAACAUCGUAGAUCAUAUUAAAUGAAAACUAAUAAAAUAUUAAUUAGGGCUUUUUCUUUAUAAAAAAAAUAAUUAGCAUUUUCUUAUUUGUAAUUUAUUGGUUACGUAUAUAAUAAGCGUAAAUAACAAAACAACUAUAAUGUCUUUACCUUGUGUUUGGAAUUUAUAGAUCGGAGUAACUGAAGGGUUGCCGGAAAAUGCGACUCUUGUUAGAAGAUUAUAUGUUUGGGAUAUGUAAUUUGAAAGGUUUUCUAUUUGGCUUUUUUUGAAAUAAUUGGUGUAAAUUUGUAAUUAUGUAAUGAUUCUAUUGUUAAAUGCCUCGAUUUGAGGUUCGCCCGGUUCUUAUGAAAUUCACCUUUCAAAAAAAA